rnacentral:rRNA from 1 species
AACAUCCGUAGCUAGCUUUGUAAGUCUUUUGUGAAAUCUGGCCUCUUAAGGGUCGGGCGCGCAAGAGAUACUGCUUAGCUAGAGACCGGGAGACGUAAGGAGUACGGUUAGGGUAGCGGUAAAAUGCGUUGAUCCUAAUUGGACUAACAAUAGCGAAGGCACCUUACGAGAACGGAUCUGACAGUGAGGGAUGAAGGCUAGGGGCGCAAAUUGGAUUAGAUACCCAAGUAGUCCUAGCAGUAAACCCUGCACACUAAACAUUGGGACCUCCUCGAGAGGUUUCAGUGCUGAAGGGAAGCCGCAGAGUGUGCUACCUGGGAAGUAUAGUCGCAAGGCCGAAACUUAAAGGAAUAGGCGGGGGGGUACUACAACCAGUGACGCGUGCGGUUCAAUUAGAUUCUACACCGUGAACCUCACCAGGACCGACAGCAGAAUGAAGGUCAGUCUGAAGGGCUUACCUGACACGCUGAGAGGAGUUGCAUGGCCGACGUCAGCCUGUGUCGUGAGAUGAUCUGUUAAAUCAGGUAACAGGCGAGACCCGCGUGUAUAAUUGCUUCGUGCACAAUAUACAGACUGCCUUGGUAACAAGGAGGAAGGUACGGGCUACGUCAGGUAGUACGGCCCGAAUGCCCUGGGCUACACGCGCGCGGCAAUGCUGCAUUCAAAGGGUCGCAACACCGAAAGGUGAAGCUAAUCUCAUAAUCUGCAGCCUAGUUCGGAUUGAGGGUUGCAACCCACCCUCAUGACGCUGGAAUUGGUAGUAAUCGUUCGUUAUCAGCGAACGGUGAAUAAGUCAAUGCUCCUUGCACUCACCGCCCGUCAAACCAACCGAGUUUUGCUUUGGCGAGGCCCGUUAGGGACGAACCUUUGUAAGACAAGGUAGGUUAAGUCGUCACAAGGUCACUGUAGGGGAACCUGCAGUGGGAUCACCUCCU